GACGAACGCUGGCGGCGUGCUUAACACAUGCAAGUCGAACGGAAAGGCCCCUUUGGGGGUACUCGCUUGGCGAACGGGUGAGUAACACGUGAGUAACCUGCCCUCGACUUCGGGAUAACUUCAGGACACUGGGGCUAAUACCGGAUAGGAAUCCUUGCUGCAUGGUGGGGGUUGGAAAGCUUCGGCGGUUUUGGAUGGACUCGCGGCUUAUCAGCUUGUUGGUGGGGUAGUGGCUUACCAAGGCCUUGACGGGUAGCCGGCCUGAGAGGGCGACCGGCCACAUUGGGACUGGGAUACGGCCCAGACUCCUACGGGAGGCAGCAGUGGGGAAUAUUGCACAAUGGGCGGAAGCCUGAUGCAGCAACGCCGCGUGCGGGAUGACGGCCUUCGGGUUGUAAACCGCUUUCAGCAGGGGCGAAGCUUGUGGUGACGGUACCUGCAGAAGAAGCACCGGCUAACUACGUG
rnacentral:rRNA from 1 species